rnacentral:rRNA from 1 species
UGAGUAACCUGCCCUUAACUCUGGGAUAAGCCCUGGGAAACUGGGUCUAAUACCGGAUAUGACUCCUCAUCGCAUGGGUGGGGGGGUUGGAAAGCUUUUUUGUGGUUUUUGGAUGGACUCGCGGCCUAUCAGCUUGUUGGUGAGGUAAUGGCUCACCAAGGCGACGACGGGUAGCCGGCCUGAGAGGGUGACCGGCCACACGUGGGACUGAGACACCGGCCCAGACUCCGUACGGGGAGGCAG